GUCGACGGUACGGGAGAGAUUUAUCUCUUGCCGACGAGUGGCGGACGGGUGAGUAACGCGUAGGAAUCUGCCUGGCAGUGGGGGACAACUUGGGGAAACUCGAGCUAAUACCGUAUAUAUUUCUUUAUCUUGAAGAUAGAGAAGGAAAGGGGGGUCUUUGGCCUCUCGCUGUUAGAUGAGCCUGCGUCGGAUUAGCUUGUUGGUGGGGUAAUGGCCUACCAAGGCGACGAUCCGUAGCUGGUCUGAGAGGAUGAUCAGCCACACUGGGACUGAGACACGGCCCAGACUCCUACGGGAGGCAGCAGUGGGGAAUAUUGGACAAUGGGCGCAAGCCUGAUCCAGCAAUACCGCGUGUGUGAAUAAGGCCUUCGGGUUGUAAAGCACUUUCAGUGGGGAAGAAAGGUCCGAGGUUAAUACCCUCUGGGCUUUGACGUUACCCAAAGAAGAAGCACCGGCUAACUCCGUG
rnacentral:rRNA from 1 species